GACGAACGCUGGCGGCGUGCUUAACACAUGCAAGUCGAACGGAAAGGCUCCAGCUUGCUGGAGUACUCGAGUGGCGAACGGGUGAGUAACACGUGGGUAAUCUGCCCUGCACUCUGGGAUAAGCCUGGGAAACUGGGUCUAAUACUGGAUAUGACCUUUCUCCUUAUGGGGUUUGGUGGAAAGUUUUUCGGUGUAGGAUGAGCCCGCGGCCUAUCAGCUUGUUGGUGGGGUGAUGGCCUACCAAGGCGACGACGGGUAGCCGGCCUGAGAGGGUGAUCGGCCACAUUGGGACUGAGAUACGGCCCAGACUCCUACGGGAGGCAGCAGUGGGGAAUAUUGCACAAUGGGCGGAAGUCUGAUGCAGCGACGCCGCGUGAGGGAUGACGGCCUUCGGGUUGUAAACCUCUUUCAGCAGGGACGAAGCGUAAGUGACGGUACCUGCAGAAGAAGCACCGGCUAACUACGUG
rnacentral:rRNA from 1 species